CAUGAUGAUGAGAAUUUGUUCAUAUCUAUAUGGGUUGAGAUUCCAUCAAUGAA
rnacentral:pre_miRNA from 1 species